CGUGCUUAACACAUGCAAGUCGAACGGUAACAGGAGAAGCUUGCUUCUUGCUGACGAGUGGCGCACGGGUGAGUAAUGCAUAGGUAACGUGCCCCUUAGUCUAGGAUAGCCACUGGAAACGGUGAUUAAUACUGGAUACUCCUUCUUCCUUAAUGGAAGUUGGGAAAGUUUUUCGCUAAGGGAUCGGCCUAUGUUGUAUCAGGUAGUUGGUGAGGUAAUGGCUCACCAAGCCUAUGACACAUAGCGGGUCUGAGAGGAUGAUCCGCCACACUGGUACUGAGACACGGACCAGACUCCUACGGGAGGCAGCAGUGGGGAAUAUUGCACAAUGGACGAAAGUCUGAUGCAGCAACGCCGCGUGGAGGAUGACACAUUUCGGUGCGUAAACUCCUUUUAUAUGAGAAGAUAAUGACGGUAUCAUAUGAAUAAGCACCGGCUAACUCCGUGCCAGCAGCCGCGGUAAUACGGAGGGUGCAAGCGUUAUUCGGAAUCACUGGGCGUAAAGGGUGCGUAGGCGGUUUGAUAAGUCUGAUGUGAAAUCCUAUGGCUCAACCAUAGAACUGCAUUGGAAACUGUCAAACUAGAAUACUGAAGGGGCAGAUGGAAUUAGUGGUGUAGGGGUAAAAUCCGUAGAUAUCACUAGGAAUACCGAAAGCGAAAGCGAUCUGCUGGGAAGUUAUUGACGCUGAGGCACGAAAGCGUGGGGAGCAAACGGGAUUAGAUACCCCGGUAGUCCACGCCCUAAACGAUGAAUGCUAGUCGUCGGAAAGCUCGUCUUUUCGGUGAUGCAGUUAACACAUUAAGCAUUCCGCCUGGGGAGUACGGUCGCAAGAUUAAAACUCAAAGGGAAUAGACGGGGACCCGCACAAGUGGUGGAGCAUGUGGGUUUAAUUCGAGAUACGCGAGGACCCUUAC
rnacentral:rRNA from 1 species